ACGGCCAUACCAUACAGAAUAUACCGUUCUCGUUCGAUCACCGAAGUCAAGCAUCAUUGGGCGCGGUCAGUACUUCGAUUGACACCUGGGAACACCGCGUGCC